rnacentral:rRNA from 1 species
UGGGGAAUAUUGCACAAUGGGCGGAAGCCUGAUGCAGCAACGCCGCGUGAGUGAUGAAGGCCUUCGGGUUGUAAAGCUCUGUCUUUUGGGACGAUAAUGACGGUACCAAAGGAGGAAGCCACGGCUAACUACGUGCCAGCAGCCGCGGUAAUACGUAGGUGGCAAGCGUUGUCCGGAUUUACUGGGCGUAAAGGAUGCGUAGGCGGAUUUUUAAGUGAGAUGUGAAAACCCUAAGCUUAACUUGGGGACUGCAUUUCAUACUGGAAAUCUAGAGUGCGGGAGAGGAGAAUGGAAUUCCUAGUGUAGCGGUGAAAUGCGUAGAGAUUAGGAAGGACACCAGUGGCGAAGGCGAUUCUCUGGACCGUAACUGACGCUGAGGCAUGAAAGCGUGGGUAGCAAACAGGAUUAGAUACCCUGGUAGUCCACGCCGUAAACGAUGAGUACUAGGUGUAGGAGGUAUCGACCCCUUCUGUGCCGCAGUUAACACAAUAAGUACUCCGCCUGGGAAGUACGAUCGCAAGAUUAAAACUCAAAUGAAUUGACGGGGUCAUAGCUGUUUUCCU